rnacentral:lncRNA from 1 species
GCUUAGCAACUGUUUAAUCAGGGGGGAGAUGCAAGGUACUAGUUCAUUUAUUAACGGGAAAAUAAUCGCGGGUCCUAAUGAGUCACUCAGCAUCAAAAUGCAUCAAAUUCAUCAUCUGUUUCAGUCUUUGAAAAUGAUUAAACAUCACUUUCUUUCCCUUUAUAGCAAGAUCCAAGUGAUAACCAAUAAAUCAGGAACACAGUCCUAUUCACAAUUGCCACAAAAAGAAUGAAAUACCUAAGAAUACAGCUAACUAUGGAGGUGAAAGAGGUCUACAAUGAGAAUUACAAAACACUGCUCAAAGAAAUCAGAGCUGACACAAACAAAGGGAAAAACAUUCCACACUCAUGGAUAGGAAUAAUUACCCAUGUCUGUGUCCAAAUUUCUCCCUUUUUUAAGACACCAGUCAUCUUGGAUUAGGUCCCACCCAACUCCAGUGUAACCUCUUCUUAAAUAAUUACAACUCCCAUGAGCCUGUUUCCAAAUAAGCCUGUGUGUGUGGUACAGGGGAAGAGGUACGAUUCCAUAACAGGAAGAGAGCAUGGCAAACAGUGAGGCUGAGAUGGACUGAGCACCUGGUGUGCUGGGCUUGUAGCUUCCACACUCACUCCCUUGGCCAUCCCAAGACACCUGUGGUGCAGCCAUUAGGAUCCUAAUUUUAACAAUGAGCUUCAUACAAUGUGCUCAUGCUCACACAGUUAGCUGAGAAUGCAGUUCAGACAGUUGGACUCCGGAGCCCAAACCCUUUCUACUUUCCACUGGAACAUGACCACGCACAGGGACCAGAUGGAAAGAGGCAAAGACCGCAACGCCCACCAGAUGCUUUGCCUCGGAACAGAAGGGAGGAAAGGAUGUCUUCAAAGCUCAUAGGAGACUGUUGUUAGGGAAGCAGAGGACCUCCCUGUGGGGCACCGAGGGGCAGGAUGGAGAGGCAGACAUCAGCACCGAGACCCUCUGACACUACCUCUGCUCCAUCUGCUCUAGCUCCACAGGCCUCCCUGCUGCCCUGGUUAGGAGAGGUCCCCUCCAUUUAGCUCCUCCUGCCCCGGGGAGUCCACUUGUCCCUUCCCUCCCAUCUCUCAGGCCUCCAGUCCAGCACCUCUUCACAGUGAGCUCAUCCCUGACUUCCUGCCCCCAAAUCAGGGAUUUCCCUACACCGGCAUUCUCCAUUCUUAUCUCCUGCUUUAUUUUUCUCCCUGACACUUUCUUCCAUCUGUUAGUAAAUCUUUAUCAUUGUCUGUUUCCUCCCACUAGAAUAUAAACUUCAUGGAGGACAUUGACCAUUUUGUUCAGUGCGGUAAAUUCAGCACCUAUACUAGUGCCUGGCUCUUGGGAGGGCUCUGUAAUACGCGCUGAAGGAAUAAAUGUUUCCAAGCAGUCCUGGAUGCUGGGGCUGGUAUGUCCUUGCUUGGCGACCAGGGAGGAUGUGUCUA